UCCCGUGGGCAGUGGGGAUCUCAGGGCCAAGCGGCAGCGGAGGCAGGACCAGCCACUCUCACUUUUCCCCUCGAAAACCACAGCGUUCCAGGGCCGCGAGGCACCCCGCGGGAGCUUGCGAGGACACAGCGCCCCCGUGUGGGCGGACGCGCACAGAGUCGCGCCCGUGGCGUUUCGGGCCCAGGCUCCGCCCCCGCCGCGCUGCCCCUCCCCCCAUGGGGGCGUGGCCAGGCCUAGCCCAGGGAUCCGAGAUUCCAAGUCACACCCAGCACGACUUGGGAAGUCGCGACGAAAGUGCGCGACUUCCCAGCAAGCGAGGUUGAAGUCCCGGCAGGCAGGGAGGAAGGCGUGUGUCCCCCCGUGCAUGCGGGGAAGGAGCAGUGGGGGAAGGCUGAGUUGGGCUUUCAAUUAAAAAAAAUGUGCAUACACUUAGUUUUUUGAUGCAAAAUUGCCAAAGGCGUGUACCGUGAAAACCUACCUCGACACCUGCCCCCUGCCUCCUGUUCCCUUUCCGGAAGCGCCUGCCUUACACCGGUGUGUUCCUCUAGAGAUGGCCAGGACCUGGGUGAGGCAGCACACACUCACAGGACCUUCCCAACACUCAUUAUGAAACAUAUCACAUGGAAAACUGCAAGAAUUACAGGCAAUCGCCUCUCAGCCUUUGGCUAAGAUCAAGUGUAGUGUUCUUAUCACUUUAAUAUCUGCUAUCUGAGGACAGUAUGUUAAAUGGAUUUUUGGAGCAGGGAGAUGGAAUAGGACCUUGCUCUUUCCACUCCAUGCAUCCACCUGGUAUUGCAGUACCUCCAGGAAUAGUGCACCCCCUUUGGGGGAAUAAAAAAAAAGGAUUGCAGGUGAGCCCCCAUAUCCCUGUCAUCUAGGCACUGCACUGCCCAUCCCCCUGUCUGCCUGCCAGUCAGUCUUGUCAGUCUUCUGUGCAUUUCAAAGUGAGUUGCAGAUACAACAACCUCUGUAAAUAGUUAAGCAUGUGUAUAAUUAUCUAGAGUUCAGUACUUGAUUAUGGUUUUUUAAGUUUUUUUUUUUUUUUUUUUUUUUGAGACGGAGUUUCGCUCCUGUUGCCCAGGCUGGAAUGCAAUGGCGCCAUCUCAGCUUACUGCAACCACCGCCUCCCGGGUUCAAGUGAUUCUCCUGCCUCAGCCUCCCAAGUAGCUGGGAUUAUAAGCGCAUGCCACCACACCCAGCUAAUUUUGUGUUUUUAGUAGAGAUGGGGUUUCUCCAUGUUGGUCAGGCUGGUCUUGAACUCCUGACCUCAGGUGAUCCACCUGCUUUGGCCUCCCACAGUGCCAGAAUUACAGGCAUGAGCCACUGUGCCCGGCUGCUUAUGGUUAUUUUUAAACGUUAAAAAUACAGUGAAAUGUACAAAUCCUAAGUGGAGCACUCCAUGAGUUCUGACUAAUGAAACCCAAAUCCCAGUGAAGGAUAUUACUAUUGCCCAGAAAGUUCCUUGUGCCAAUCUCUAACACACUAGAGGCAACCACUGUUAGAAUUUUUUUUUUUUUUGCAAUAGAUUAGGUUUUCCUGCUCUAGAAUUUCAUGUAAAUGGCAUCAUACAACAUGACUUGUUUCUUUCACUUAGCUUUUGAGCUCCUGAAUGUUGUGUGUAUGGAUAGUUUAUUUUUUAUUGCUGGGUAAAAUGCCACCCUGUGGAUCCACCACAUGUAUCCAUUUGCCUGUUGAUGGCCACCUAGGCUGUUCCCUAUUUUUCAGCUAUUAUGAACAUUCUUGUACAAGUCUUUGUAUAGGCAUAUAUUUUCAUCUUGGGUUUCAAUACCCAGGAGUAGAAUAGCUGGGUGUAGGGUAAGUGUAUGUCUAGUUUUAUGGGAAAUUGCUACACCUUUUCCUGAUGUAGUCUAUUAGUCACUUCCUACCCCCCUUUUAAACACAAAUGGUAGCAUACGCUAUUGUUUCUUGCUUUCUGUAUUCUUCCUUGACAGCAUAUCUUGGAGAUUCUUCUAACUCAACAUAUAAAGAAUGUCCUCCUAGUUCCUUUCCACAGGGAGGAGCUGCUGUAAUUUAUUCAGCCCCCUCCGAUGGGCAUUUAGAUGUUUCUAGCCUUAUUGAGCUGUGCUUUGAAGGAUGAACAGGAGCUUGUCAGGCAGACAGCAGAGGGAACAAGGCCCACAGGUUUGACAGACACUGCAGAACCCUUACUGCUGGGGCAUGAGCUUUUAAGAGGAGAGGCACCUUCUGUUCCAUUUCCCCAUGAGGCUCAAUAAUGUUUGCUGAGUGGAAAGGAGUGGGUAAUGUGGCCCUAGAAGGGAUUGGGGCAGGGGAGUGAGGUGGGCACUACCACUUAGGGGCACACCUGGCUCUCCAGAACCAGGCAUUGGUAGGUGCUGAAGCUCAGGUUGGGGCUUUUGCUGACUCUCGGACAGUGCCACAUGCCCAUCCCCUGGCCCUCAUCAGGAAUCCGUUGCUCUUCCCCAGGCCAUGGGGCUCAGACCCCUCAGAAAUGAGAUGGGAGGCUCAUCCCAGCCUUCCUGAGGACUUCAUGCUGGCCUGGCUUCAGCAGGAGCAGGCUGGGGGCGGGGUAUGGGGUAGGGCAUCAGCAGGUCCAGGGAGGCAGUGGUAAAGCAGCACCAUGGAUGGAGCGGAGUGCCAGUUGAAGCGGGUGCUGCCCCUGAGCCAAGGGCAGCAAGGGGAAGCUCCGGGGGUGGGGCCUGUUUCCCUAGACUCCUCAUUCCUUGCCCCAGCUACGUCCCUAGCAGAAGUACCUGCAGGCAGGACCAGCAGCCAGACAGGGACUUGGAGUAGGAAGUGAGCCUUAGGCUUUUUGUCCUGGCUCGGGAGCUAAGUGACUUUUGGCCACACUCUAUUUCCCUGGGCCUCAGUUUCUUCACCUGUAAAAUGGACGGACUUGUUUCCUCCUGGGCCUCUAGUGGGGUGAAGUGAGAGCACAUGUAGGAAGUGGCUGGGACAGUGCCUGCCCCAAGGGAAAAAGCAGAGUAAGCCUUACCCCCCCAUCACUGUGCAUUAGUUCCCUGUGCAUGGGGAGGAGCCAGGUGGAGAGACACCAGGGCCUGCCAUCUUGAAGCGUGCGUGGCUGCUGGAAUGUGGGCUCCGUUUGCUCUCAGGCAAGAGGGGCCACGGCCACAGGUGCAAACGAAUACCUGAGGCACGAGAGAUGGCCUACUGCUUCCCUGGGGCAGCAGGUUUUCUAACAUAUUUAUACUGGCAAGCACCCUGCCUGCCUCAGCAAUUCACAGCGCCUGGCUGGUCUGGAGCCUGAGGCCACGUGCUGUGCUCCUGUCCAGGGCCUCCCUGAGCCCUGAGGCCAGCAGGUGCAGAGGGAGCGCGGGGCAGACCUGGCUGCACAUGUGUCCUAGCAGUCUCAAAACACAGUGCUGAGGUGUGGCUUCUGCAAGGCCAGGCCCACACCUGUCCAUCAGGUGGUCUCAGAGGAACCAUCCUGCUCUGACCCAACUCCCCUUGGAAAUCAGUUUCCAAGACAAGGUCUAAGACUACAAGGAAAUACUGAGGCUGGAGCCCAGCUAAGGAGUAACGACCUCCCACAGCCCUGGUCAGGCCUGCCCUGGGGUUGCCCACCCACCUGCCCCUCAAGUUCCUGAGGAAGCACCAGGCCCAGGUGGUGGGGACGGCGGCAGGUUUGGGGUGAGGCCCUGUCCAGGACUGGGGAGAGUGGAAAUGUGGCCUACCACUGGGGGCUUGGUGUAGAAACAGAAAGACUUCUAGACACGUUCUAAGGGAGCAGCCACAAGCCUGCCACUCCCACCCACACAACACUGGGUCCUUCUGGCUUGGCUACAGGUCGGGUCUGAGGCCAGCCUCACAACCAAGUUAAGACUUCUCCAAUCACCAGCUGGGUACUGGAGCUGAGGCUCAAAGGGCUUCGAGUUAUGGGGCCCUAGGCUCCUGCUAGAAGGUUCCCACUCUUCCACGGGGUGGCAGGCGCCCUGGCUCAGCGGAGGCCUCUGCAUUCUCACGGGACAGCCAGUGCACUCUGCCUCACGGGCAGAGCCCUGCAGCAGCUCCACAUGUGGCCCAGCACCCAUAUCACUUUAUCACAAAUGUGAGCACCAGGUUGACAUGACCAUCAGAAGGGAACUUUUCCAGGCAAAAUGCCUGAGUGCCCCAACCAAGCCUUUGACACACACAAAGCUGCAACCAAGCUUUGCGCCUCACUGGCCUUUUUGGGAAUAAAAUCUAAUUUAAAAUCAAGAGAACAUGAUCAAGUACCUUGUAAAAAACUGGCUUUAUUUGUCACUUAUUCACCUUAUCUCAGUUAUGCCAUUUUGGCGUCCACAGUGACAGUCCCCUGGAAGCUGGGGUCAGCCCCCACCCACCCACCGUGACCAUCACCCACAGGGCGUGAGUGUGGGCCUUGCAGGGCCCAGCCGAUGGUUACAGGCUGCAGGCGGGACUAUGGGGCUCCUCCUGAG
rnacentral:lncRNA from 1 species